AAAAUAUUAGCUAAUUGUUACUUACCUGUAUCUAAAUUAAAAACCACGUGGUCUUUAGCUACAACAUACUGUAACAGAUAUGGAGGAAAACUAGCCGAACCCUCGGGAUAUGAUUUAACAAGCCUUGUUAGCUCCCUCAUUGUUAAUAAAACAGAAUCCUACUGGAUUGGAUUUAGUCAAACCGGGAUACCAGACUCGAGUCCCGAGCAAGGUUUUUGGAGCGAUGGAAGUCAAACGUUUGUGGAUGUUGGUUGGUGGGAUAACUUUCAACCGGAUCGUCGAGGUGGAGAUUGCACCGCAUUAAGACCCACAAAUACAGAUUGGAGAUGGUAUAUGACACACUGUUUAGAGUUACGUCCCUUUAUUUGCCAAGCAGCACCCUGUCCGUCAGAUACGUUUCGUUGUUCAAAUGGCAAGUGUAUUGGCACCCAAUUUGUUUGUAAUGGUGCGGAUGACUGUUCAGAUGGACUGGACGAACGGGAGUGCGGAAACGGAUGUAACACAGCUUUAACCGGAAGUCAAGGGGAGAUAAUCCAUCCUAACAAUCAGUCUGUAUAUUUACCACGUACUACCUGUCAGUGGCAUAUAGAAGGUGACUUUGGAACACACCUACAAUUACAGAUUACCAAGCUAGAUUUAGAAGAUGGUAUAGAUUAUUUAGAGGUUUGGGUUGGUGGUAUGACAAUCUCGACUAGUAGACUACACUCCCGUUUAUCCGGACGGAAUCUAAACAAUCUUCAGCCAAUCAUAAGCAGUAAUAAUAUUGCCAUCGUUCGAUUGGUCACUGAUUCAUCCACCCAGUUUUCUGGUUUCACGUUGCUAUGGCGAUCAGAUUUUCGAUGUUCGGUGGCACCUCUUUCUGGGUUUAAGCCCGAUGAUCAAGCGACAACUAUCCCGUCUGCAAGUUUUAAUAUGGCUUCGUGUCAGACUGAAUGCAGCAACCUUGUAAACUGUGUGGCCUCCAUCUUUGACUCCUUUCGAUGCACUCUUUUGUCUCAGUUACCCAGUCUUAUUCCUGCUACUGGUUCUACUAUUUACUUCAAAACGUGUCCUC